UAGUUGGUAAGGUAACGGCUUACCAAGGCGAUGAUGCAUAGCCGAGUUGAGAGACUGAUCGGCCACAAUGGAACUGAGACACGGUCCAUACUCCUACGGGAGGCAGCAGUAGGGAAUCUUCCACAAUGGGCGCAAGCCUGAUGGAGCAACACCGCGUGAGUGAAGAAGGGUUUCGGCUCGUAAAACUCUGUUGUUGAAGAAGAACGUGCGUGAGAGUAACUGUUCACGCAGUGACGGUAUUCAACCAGAAAGUCACGGCUAACUACGUGCCAGCAGCCGCGGUAAUACGUAGGUGGCAAGCGUUAUCCGGAUUUAUUGGGCGUAAAGCGAGCGCAGGCGGUUGCUUAGGUCUGAUGUGAAAGCCUUCGGCUUAACCGAAGAAGUGCAUCGGAAACCGGGCAACUUGAGUGCAGAAGAGGACAGUGGAACUCCAUGUGUAGCGGUGGAAUGCGUAGAUAUAUGGAAGAACACCAGUGGCGAAGGCGGCUGUCUGGUCUGCAACUGACGCUGAGGCUCGAAAGCAUGGGUAGCGAACAGGAUUAGAUACCCUGGUAGUCCAUGCCGUAAACGAUGAGUGCUAGGUGUUGGAGGGUUUCCGCCCUUCAGUGCCGAAGCUAAC
rnacentral:rRNA from 1 species